UGUUGCGGUUAAAACGUUCGUAGUUGAAUUUGUGUCCCACACGGGUAAUUGGCCCACUUACGGGUUCUUAUUACUUGCCGGCUUGCUGGCUUUAGUGUGCGGACGUUUUACCGGUGAGGGAAACGGUGUAGUUUCGGCUGCAAUACGCCCCUUAUUUAUUUCAUAAACCCGUCUUGGUGCUUUUAAUCGAGUGCCAAUGUGGGCCGGUACUAUUACUUUGAACAAAUUAGAGUGCUUAAAGCAGGCUAAAUUUAAUGAAAGUUAAAACGCCUGAAUAUAUUUUGCAUGGAAUAAUGGAAUAGGACCUCUGUUCUACUUUCAUUGGUUUUUAGACCAAGAGGUAAUGAUUAAUAGAAGCAGUUGGGGGCAUUAGUAUUACGAGGCGAGAGGUGAAAUUCGUAGACCCUCGUAAGACUAACUUAAGCGAAAGCAUUUGCCAAGGAUGUUUUCAUUAAUCAAGAACGAAAGUUAGAGGAUCGAAGGCGAUCAGAUACCGCCCUAGUUCUAACCAUAAACGAUGCCAGCUAGCAAUUGUAUGUAGCUACUAAUUUUGGUUCAUACAGUCGCUUUCCGGGAAACCAAAGCUUUUGGGCUCCGGGGGAAGUAUGGUUGCAAAGCUGAAACUUAA
rnacentral:rRNA from 1 species